CUUCACAGCUUCAUGCAGCGGUCUCU
rnacentral:piRNA from 1 species